UUGUCUCCUCAGUUGGUUAAAGGAAAGCUACCGGGAAGGCAGAUUUGUUGACGAGUUGCCUUACAUACUAAAUGAUGAUGACUACAUAUCGAAGUAUCGAGCCAGCCUAAAAGCUGUAGUUCUCAGGGCAAAAGCAUGUUCUUGAGCUUUAUUUGAAGGGUAUGAUGUUUGCAUAUCAGCUCACGCUCAACCACCACCUAAAACUCUAUCCCUGAUAGUCAAGUCAGCCGGUGGAAAUGUGAUUCAUGAGCUAGAUAAAGUAAACAACGUAUGGAAGACGAGCUUUGUGGCUUGUGAGGAAGACGUGGAGGAAGCCUUGGUGGCCGUAGAAAAAGGGAUAUGGACUUUCAACGUUGAAUGGCUAAUGGCAUGUAUAAUGAGACAAGAAGUAGACUUGGAGGCCCUCAAUUUGCUGAGUCCCUAU